CCCUUAGAUGCUCUGGGCCGCACGCGCGCUACACUGGUCGAUGCAACGAGUUUCUUUCCUUGGCCGACAGGCCUGGGCAAUCUUUGAACAUCGAUCGUGAUCGGGAUAGAUUCUUGUAAUUUUUGAUCUUAAACGAGGAAUUCCUAGUAAACGCAAGUCAUCAGCUUGCAUUGAUUACGUCCCUGCCCUUUGUACACACCGCCCGUCGCACCUACCGAUUGAAUGGUCCGGUGAAAUCUCCGGACUGCGGCAGUGUUCAGUUCCUGAACGUUGCAGCGGAAAGUUUAGUGAACCUUAUCACUUAGAGGAAGGAGAAGUCGUAACA
rnacentral:rRNA from 1 species